rnacentral:rRNA from 1 species
CCUACGGGAGGCUGCAGUCGAGAAUCAUUCACAAUGGGGGAAACCCUGAUGGUGCGACGCCGCGUGGGGGAAUGAAGGUCUUCGGAUUGUAAACCCCUGUCAUGUGGGAGCAAAUUAAAAAGAUAGUACCACACGAGGAAGAGACGGCUAACUCUGUGCCAGCAGCCGCGGUAAUACAGAGGUCUCAAGCGUUGUUCGGAAUCACUGGGCGUAAAGCGUGCGUAGGCUGUUUCGUAAGUCGUGUGUGAAAGGCGCGGGCUCAACCCGCGGACGGCACAUGAUACUGCGAGACUAGAGUAAUGGAGGGGGAACCGGAAUUCUCGGUGUAGCAGUGAAAUGCGUAGAUAUCGAGAGGAACACUCGUGGCGAAGGCGGGUUCCUGGACAUUAACUGACGCUGAGGCACGAAGGCCAGGGGAGCGAAAGGGAUUAGAUACCCUUGUAGUU